rnacentral:rRNA from 1 species
GUAUUUAUUAGAUAACAAACCAAUAUUCCUUCGGGUCUAUUGUGAUGAAUCAUAGUAACUGUUCGAAUCGCAUGGGCUUUGCCCGCGAUAAAUCAUUCAAGUUUCUGCCCCAUCAGCUUGAUGGUAGUGUAUUGGACUACCAUGGCACUCACGGGUAACGGAGAAUUAGGGUUCGAUUCCGGAGAGGGAGCCUGAGAAACGGCUACCACAUCUAAGGAAGGCAGCAGGCGCGUAAAUUACCCAAUCCUAAUUCAGGGAGGUAGUGACAAGAAAUAACAGGCCGGUGCUUUGCAUCGUGUUUGCAAUGAGUUUAAUCCAAAUCCCUUUUCGAGUAACAAUUGGAGGGCAAGUCUGGUGCCAGCAGCCGCGGUAAUUCCAGCUCCAAUAGCGUAUAUUAAAGUUGUUGCAGUUAAAAAGCUCGUAGUUGGAUUUCUGAAGGCGCGACAAUGUCCGCUGAUUGCGUGUGCAGCGUUGCUCUUUCAUCCUUCUGUUAACGUUUCUUGGCAUUUAUUUGCUGGUUCCGGGCUCAGAUAUUUUACCUUGAGAAAAUUAGAGUGUUUCAGGCAGGCUUGUGCU